UACGGAGGAUGCAAGCGUUAUCCGGAAUUAUUGGGCGUAAAGCGCACGUAGGCGGCUUUGCAAGUCCCAUGUGAAAUCCCACGGCUUAACCGUGGAAGUGCAUGGGAAACUGCAGAGCUUGAGUACUUAAGAGGAUCGCGGAAUUCCCGGUGUAGAGGUGAAAUUCGUAGAUAUCGGGAGGAACACCAGUGGCGAAGGCGGCGAUCUGGGAAGAUACUGACGCUGAGGUGCGAAAGCGUGGGGAGCAAACAGG
rnacentral:rRNA from 1 species